GACGUAGGGCGCGAGCGUUGUCCGGAUUUAUUGGGCGUAAAGAGCUCGUAGGCGGCUUGUCGCGUCGUCCGUGAAAACCUGCGGCUCAACUGCAGGCUGGCGGUCGAUACGGGCAUCACUAGAGUUCGGCAGGGGAGACUGGAAUUCCUGGUGUAGCGGUGAAAUGCGCAGAUAUCAGGAGGAACACCGGUGGCGAAGGCGGGUCUCUGGGCCGAUACUGACGCUGAGGAGCGAAAGCAUGGGGAGCGAACAGG
rnacentral:rRNA from 1 species